CGCAUCUGUGCAUGCAGCAUAUCAAUAAGCGGAGGAAAAGAAAACUAACAAGGAUUCCCCUAGUAACGGCGAGUGAAGCGGGAAGAGCUCAAAUUUGAAAUCUUAAAGGGUUUCCCUUUACGAAUUGUAGUUUAAAGAAGUGUUUUUCUGUUGAGGUUUUUGGUAAAAGUUCUUUGGAAUAGGACAUCAUAGAGGGUGAGAAUCCCGUAUUUGACCUUUACUUUCAACUUUGUGAUACACUUUCAAAGAGUCGGAUUGUUUGGGAAUGCAGUCCAAAAUGGGUGGUAAAAUUUCAUCUAAAGCUAAAUAUUGGCGAGAGACCGAUAGCGAACAAGUACCGUGAGGGAAAGAUGAAAAGAACUUUGAAAAGAGAGUUAGACAGUACGUGAAAUUGUCAAAAGGGAAGCGUUUGACACCAGUGUUGUUUUUCUGAAAAUCAAUUAAAGAACUGUUUAUGCUAAGUUGUUUAGACUUUAUCAGCUAACUGUUUAGUUUUGAGCUUUUCUUUAAUGCACUUUUCAGUUAACAAGUCAACAUCAAUUUCUUUUGCUGUAAAAAAAGCUUGAGGAAGGUGGCUUGAGAUUCGUCUUAAGUGUUUAUAGCCUCUUGCCUAUGCAGUCGGAGAGAUUGAGGUCUGCAGCGUAGAUCCUUCGGGGCUAAAUGCAUUUGUGCUAAGUUAUAGCAUUUUAUAGACAACUUGUUGACUAUGAUUUGUCUUGUAGCUUACUCGCUUAUGUUAUUUUACCUACGCUUAGGAUGUUGAACGCGCACAGAGUCUC
rnacentral:rRNA from 1 species